UACGAAGGGGGCUAGCGUUGUUCGGAAUCACUGGGCGUAAAGCGCACGUAGGCGGACUGUUAAGUCGGGGGUGAAAUCCUGGAGCUCAACUCCAGAACUGCCUUCGAUACUGGCGAUCUUGAGUCUGGGAGAGGUGAGUGGAACUCCGAGUGUAGAGGUGAAAUUCGUAGAUAUUCGGAAGAACACCAGUGGCGAAGGCGGCUCACUGGCCCGGUACUGACGCUGAGGUGCGAAAGCGUGGGGAGCAAACAGG
rnacentral:rRNA from 1 species